UACGAAGGGGGCUAGCGUUGCUCGGAAUUACUGGGCGUAAAGGGAGCGUAGGCGGGUUUUUAAGUCAGGUGUUUAAUCCCGGGGCCCAACCCCGGACAGGCACUUGAAACUGGGAAUCUUGAAUAGUGGAGAGGUCGGUGGAAUUGGGGGUGUAGCGGUGGAAUGCGUAGAGAUCCCCAAGAACACCCGUUGCGAAGGCGGCCGACUGGACACAUAUUGACGCUGAGGCUCGAAAGCAUGGGGAGCAAACAGG
rnacentral:rRNA from 1 species